AAGCCGGUGGGGCACACGCGCCAAGUAGGUUUCGAGCUGCCUUAGAACAUGGUUCAAGCGAGUUCCAUUGAAAGCCUCUCUCAAACAUUAGCACGCUGCAAUCCGGGCAAGCAAUUCAACCCAUCCCAAUCCAUUAACUUAUUACUACUUAACAAUGCAAUUAGAUCUGUGCGUUUCCACCGGUGUUAUCCUGUCACGCACUCCGCAGCUGCUUCCGCCGUCGUCCUCUAGUCCGAUUGUCACAAUCGGAGGUCGCGUCGUUAUUCCCUGACCGGCGCGUGGCCUGCACGCACUGGGAACUUGGUUCCUGGUUUGGCGCGUGAGGGCUGUGCUUCGCUCCUCCGACCUUUCUUGUGGCUGUUUGGUGGUGGUCUGUGGUGGUUGGGUGUUGCUGGAGUCUCGGGAUAUGGCGCGUGUGUCGCACGCACCGACUCAGGCAGUGACUGGCCCUUUCCGGCGAUGGCAGUGGAGUUUUUUGUUUUGGAUUGUAUAUUCUUUGUCUUUUCACAGUGUAUCUUUGCAAUGGGCUAAUAUUGUAUGGGCUUUUAGGUGGCUUUAUGUUAGACCAGGCCUCUUAUCUUUAGUUGGGUUGUGCUUCAUUGUAUUGUGAGGUCCAA